GACGGAGGGGGCUAGCGUUGUUCGGAAUUACUGGGCGUAAAGAGUGCGUAGGUGGUUUAGUAAGUUGGAAGUGAAAGCCCGGGGCUUAACCUCGGAAUAGCUUUCAAAACUACUAAUCUAGAGUGUAGUAGGGGAUGAUGGGAUUCCUAGUGUAGAGGUGAAAUUCUUAGAUAUUAGGAGGAACACCGGUGGCGAAGGCGGUCAUCUGGGCUACAACUGACACUGAUGCACGAAAGCGUGGGGAGCAAACAGG
rnacentral:rRNA from 1 species